GGCAGGCUCACCAGGGGAGAGUCGCAGAGGGUAAUGAAUAACCAAGGUCGCGGGCAACUUCCUCCUGCUGGCACUGUUACAGUCCGUGUUAUAUAUAGCCAUCAAGGACUCCCAUCCGGGGCUGACCAGCUGCAAAUAUUUAACACAUCCCGUGGUGGAAGGAAUGGCCACCAAUCACCAGCAGGUCCUCGGCAGUGACUCUGAAGGAAGCCAAGGGCGAAAUCUCACUGGUGUCAACCUUCUCAGUUGGCAUCUGUAAUGACCAAGAAAUGCCUGAAGCCCCUGCCGACUGUAUGUUUAAAGGUGACCCUCGAUUUAUUUAUGAGGCAGUGGAGUCCUUUAACUUUUGAACUUUUUGAUGGGUUGAGCCUGCCAAAAUGUGAUUCCAGAAGCAUUUUGAGUAAGUAAUUAUUUUUCCAAAAGAACUAAUGUCACCGACUAAUGAUGAUUGUGUGCUUGCUGUGCUGGGCAUGCAUCUAAAAAAAUAUUCUUAAUGUUUAUUUAUUUUUGAGAGAGAGAGAGAGAGCAGAGAAGGGGAAGAGAGAGAGGGAGACACAUCCCUUGUUUCCUGAGCAUUUACCCCACGGGGAUAGUCCUGACUGUCGAGGUAGUUUUCGGCACAAAGAGGGGGAGGAGGCCAACAGCGUGCAGGAGAGCAGGGGGCCCAGUGAUCUGGGUGACAGGGUCCUGUUGCAGUGGGAGCGAAAGGGCCCUGGGGUCAGCCGGACGUGGGUCUGAAUUCCACUGCUGCGGAUGAUACUUGUGGGGUCUCACUGAGACUCUCACUCUUUGUCUAAAAUGGAGACAAUGAUGCUUUCUUCCUGGGGUCAUUGGGAGGAUAAAUGGAAUUACUGAUGGAUCAGUAUCUACCUUUACUUCACAAAGUAUUUCAGGUAUUCUGUCAGGGUUUUUAUAGUAAAAGAGAAAAGGAAAACAAAGAAAAAAGUGAGUUUUCUAUGUGUAGCGUCAUGUCACCUGCGAAUAGUGGAAGUUUUACUUGGGUGGGGGAUGGGUGGGACGGGAAGGGGGUAAGGGUGCCCUGAUCACCACGUGCGCCGUGUGAUGUAUAAAAAUGUUGAAUCUCUAGAUUGUACACCCGAAACUAAUAUAACCCUGUAUGUAAAUUACACUUCCAUGAAAAAAAGUGAGGGGCGCCUGGGGGGCUCAGUCUGUUAAGGGUCCGACUUCGGCUCAGGUCGUGAUCUCACAGUCUGUGCGUUCGAGCCCCAUGUCAGGCUCUGUGCUGGCAGCUCGGAGCCCGGAGUCUGCUUUGGAUUCUGUGUCUCCCUCUCUCUCUUCCCCUCCCCUGCUCGUGUUCUGUCGCUCUCUUUCUUUCUCUCAAAAAUACAUAAGCAUUAAAAAAAAAGUGAGACAAGGUUGAAAGAAAGAAAAUAUGUAAAUAGGCAAAUGUAGGGAUCCCAAGCAAUCAUUACAGUGGGGCCACGAUUGGGUUGUUUGCCUCCUGCUGGCCAAUGCAAGUGAGAAACACCUCACCUCAAAACUCAUGACUCUUUUAUUUAGGGGGGACAUAACAAACAAGCAUGUGCCUGGCACAGAACCGGUGCCUUUGAUCGAUAAUUUCUCCUCCCUUUUCCCUAUCUAGUUUCCGCCUACAAACACCUUUGACCACCGGCCUAUUUAUAAUAGAUUAGGGUUCUGUGGACACGCAGUGGGGCAGGGAGACUUAGGAGGGUCCCCCGGGUCUGUUUUCUUCCAUGAGCUUGCCUGGGAUGCCUAACAGAGGAACUAGCCUCACCUCCCACCAACAGGGAGGCAGGGAUUGCUGUCGUGUAUUUAUUUUUGUGUGUUGAGCUCCCAUUGAUGGAGCCCCCACCCUGUGUCAGGCUGUAAGCUAAACCAGCAGACGUGCUCUCCUUGUUACUCACAGCAAUCAUUUGAAAGAGGCACUUUUAUCUUGAAGAGCGUAAAUAGCACAUUUAAAGUCACAUGGCCGGUGGAUGACAAAGCUAGGGUUCCGGUCCAGGACUCCCUGGUCAGAGGCCCUUAUGCUUAGCGUGUGAACUACACUGCCUGUCUUAUGUGUUAAUUUGUUGAAGGCAGGGGAGGGAGCCUUACUAAUGGCAUAUCUUUUGUGUUUCUAACCUACCCCUGGAAAAAAAAAAGAACCACACUCGCGCAAUCCAUUACUCCAGUGACCUAACAGUUGUCUAUCCAUUGAUUAAACAAAUGUUCAUUGUUCUCGAUAUCCAGGCUCUGGGAAUACAGCAGUGAAUAACACAGACCAAGUUCCUGCCCCCUGCGCAACUCACAUUCUAUUCAAGAGACUCAUUUCAAGAAUGGCUUUCAGGAAAAGUCAUUCUUGUCCAUUGUUCCUUAGAAAAUACCCAUAGCCCCUGCUUCUAAUCACCACCUCUGUUCCCACACUGGCUCUAUGAAUAGUAUAAAAGUUAUCUUCUGCUGAGUACCUCCAAUGUGCCAGGAAGUCUGGUAGAUACAAUAUAUAUGUUAUCUCAUUUAAAUACCACAAUGACCCUAUAAGGAAGGUAAGCCAGGGGGCACCUGGGUGGCUCAGUCGGUUAAGCGUCCAACUCUUGAUUUUGGCUCAGGUCAUGGUCUCUCAGUUGGUGGGAUCAAGUCCCACAUUGGGCUUUGUGCUGGCAGCACGGUUCCUUCUUGGGAUUCUCUCUCUCUCUUUCUGCCCCUCCCUUGCUCUCUGUCUCUCUCUCUCACCCUCUCUCUCUCUCUCUCAAAAUAAAUAAAUAAACUUAGAAAAAAUCUUUAAAAAAAAGGUAAACCAGGGCUUUUAAAAAGAUGAACAAACUAAGGCACAGAGAGGUUGGGUAUUUGCCUAAGGUCACACAGCAUAACGGUGAUGUGACUGGAAUUUAGGUCAGGUUUUGUUGACUUAGAGACGAUGCCUCCUCCGUUACACCAUGGUGCCUUCGUGCAGGUUCCAACCAUGGUUCUGUUUCUCACUAGCUCGCAAGCUUUGGAUCAGUAGACUUUUUCUUGGGACUUCAAGUGUCCCUUCUAUAAAAUGGUAGAAUUGGAUGAGGUAAGUAUUCAGGUCCUUCUGAGUCACACGUUCUCUGAGGAUAUCUCUGAGAGGGGCGAAGGUGGGAGUUUCAAGGGAUGCCCCAGGGGCCCGUUUGGCUGGAGAAGCGGAGAAACCUGAUUCGUUUUCUGUCAACCUGGGCCACUCACUCCCAGAAAGUGAAGGAAAUCACAGUCUCUCCAAGAAGAGGCCUGAGGCCCCCUGAGUGACGUGGGGUCACCGCCUUUCUGUCAAGGUCAGCCGACACUUGGAAUUCAGAGUCAGCUACCUGACAACUCAGGUGGGGGCGGACUAGGAAGCCGAGUCUGUUGCCAACAACGCCUGGCUCCUUAAGUUACUCAGCUUUUGGGUUUGUUGUGACCUAACAUGAACCAUGCAUCUAAUUAGAACUAAUUAGGGAGGUGACUCCAUGUCUGAUGAAUGAAUCCUGGAAAGGAGCAAAAUAAAGCUGUUUCAACUCUUCAGCAGCCUUGAAGAUGCCUUGGAUAACGAGGGGGGAGAACAGAAGUUGUCCACCCGUUUGCCGACUUGAGGAAGUUUGCAUUAAGAUGUUUUUAUUGAUUUCAUCAAAGCUGUUUUUAUUUUCCUGAAAAGCAGUAUUAUGGCUCCUCAAAAGAGCUCUGAUUUUGACGUGAGUCAGGUCUGGAAUUGAAUCCUGGCUCUGUCAUCACCAUCUGUUUGUGCCCGUACUAGUUAAGGUGACACCAGCUGCUCUACUGUAGACUGACUGCAGAAAGGGCUCGACUCUCGACCCCUCCCAAUGUCAUCUUUCUUCUCCUCCCAUCGAGAGACGGCUCUGUCCCCUCACCCCACAAGUAUGGCUGGCCUCAUGGCUUGCUUUGGUUAGUAAAUGUGGCAGAAGUGAUGCUGGGCAAUCCCAGUCCCAAUCCUGGACAUUUAGGAGGCCAUACUUGCUUUUACUGGGUCUUUGGACCUCUGUCGCCACCAUGAGAACCAGCCUGGACUACCUGGCCGGAGUAAGAGCACCCGCGUGGAAGAAAGUGGAAUUAUCCCGGCCCAAGCCAUUCCAGAACAUGCAGACCACUGCUGACACGGCAACUGACCUCAGAUGAAUGAGAGAGCUGAGCUGGGAUCAGAUAAAGCCGUCAAGAUAAGCCACAGGCACACAGGACCCAUUAACUGGGGAGAGAGAGCAGACGGUUGUUUCCAGCCACUGUUAGUGAGUUUGGGCUCUUACAACAAGAUACCACAGACUGGGUAGGUUGUAAACGAUACAAAGUUAUUUCUCAUGGUUGUGGAAGCUGGGAAAUCUGAGGUCAGGGUGAAAGGAUGGUCGGGUUCUAGUGAAAACCUCUUCGUGGUUUGCAGGUGGCCGUCCUUUUGCUGUGUCCUCACGUGUCACAGAGCAGAGAGAGAGCUGUCUGGUGUCUUUUAUAAGGGUACUACUGCCAUUAUGAGGUUUGCAACCCCCAUGACCUAAUACCAUCCUAUAGAACUUGUGUGUGUAUGUGUGUGUGUGCGUGCGUGCGUGUGUGUGUGUGUGUAAUUUAUUCCACGGCAGUCACUAAGUGUGGAGUGGUUUGUUUUUUUGCAAUAGGUGACCGACACAUGCAACAGAAACAAACUUCCGAAGCUCAGUGGCUCGACCACAUGAGAACACUUCUGCUCACGUGGAUCUGGUAGAACUCCCUACACCAUGUAGUCAGAGGCCCAAGCUGAAGCCUUCCAAGGUUGCAGUGAGUAUUUAGGGCAGAAGAUGGGUGUGAAAAAAGUGCGGAGCAGGUCAUGGGAGUUGUUUACGGGCAGCACGCAUGUGGUCUGCUCGCUCCUUUAACACAGUCCUCUUACCUGGUUUUUACAACACCUGUAUGAGGUAGGCAUUGUCUCCAUUUGACAGACAAGGAGACUGAGGCAAAGAGAGUUUCAAAUAACUAGCUGAGGGUCU
rnacentral:lncRNA from 1 species